rnacentral:rRNA from 1 species
CAGCAGUCGCCACGGGAAUACGAAGGGGGCUAGCGUUGCUCGGAAUCACUGGGCGUAAAGGGUGCGUAGGCGGGUCUUUAAGUCAGGGGUGAAAUCCUGGAGCUCAACUCCAGAACUGCCUUUGAUACUGAAGAUCUUGAGUUCGGGAGAGGUGAGUGGAACUGCGAGUGUAGAGGUGAAAUUCGUAGAUAUUCGCAAGAACACCAGUGGCGAAGGCGGCUCACUGGCCCGAUACUGACGCUGAGGCACGAAAGCGUGGGGAGCAAACAGGAUUAGAUACCCCCGUAGUCCCUGUCUCUUAUAA